AUUGAACGCUAGCGGGAUGCCUUACACAUGCAAGUCGAACGGAGUGGCGAACGGGUGAGUAAUGUAUCGGAACGUGCCCAGUAGCGGGGGAUAACUACGCGAAAGCGUAGCUAAUACCGCAUACUAUUGGAGCGGCCGAUAUCGGAUUAGCUAGUUGGUGGGGUAACGGCUCACCAGGUCGACGAUCCUUAGCGGGUUUGAGAGGACGACCAGCCAAACUGGAACUGAGACACGGCCCAGACUCCGUCGGGGUGAAGCAGUGGGGAAUUUGGGACAAUGGGGGAAACACUGAUCCAGCCAUCCCGCGUGUGCUAUGAAGGCCUUCGGGUUGUAAAGCACUUUUGGCAGGAAAGCGGUACCUGCAGAAUAAGCACCGGCUAACUACGUGCCAGCAGCCGCGGUAAUAC
rnacentral:rRNA from 1 species